rfam:Pseudomonas resinovorans NBRC 106553 DNA, complete geonome.
GUAUCGGUCACCGCAAGGUUCCUGUUCAACGACAGGUCUGAUUCCAGCGGCGCGCCUGAUGCGCCGCAACCGGCUCCGCCGGACAUUACCAACCCACCGGUGCACGCACCGGC